rnacentral:rRNA from 1 species
AGCAGUAGCCGCGGGAAUACGAAGGUCCCAAGCGUUGUUCGGAAUCACUGGGCGUAAAGGGAGCGUAGGCGGCGUGGUAAGUCAGAUGUGAAAUCCCGGGGCUCAACCCCGGAACUGCAUCCGAUACUGCCAUGCUUGAGGGUUGGAGAGGUAGCUGGAAUUCUUGGUGUAGCAGUGAAAUGCGUGGAUAUCAAGAGGAACACUCGUGGCGAAGGCGAGCUACUGGACAACAUCUGACGCUGAGGCUCGAAGGCCAGGGUAGCGAAAGGGAUUAGAUACCCGGGUAGUCCCUGUCUCUUAUAC